rnacentral:rRNA from 1 species
CCUACGGGAGGCAGCAGUGAGGAAUAUUGGUCAAUGGGCUUACGCCUGAACCAGCCAAGUCGCGUGAGGGAAGACUGCCCUAUGGGUUGUAAACUUCUUUUGUCAGGGAGCAAUUGGCGCUACGUGUAGCGUUAUCGAGAGUACCUGAAGAAAAAGCAUCGGCAAACUCCGUGCAAGCAGCCGCGGGAAUACGGAGGAUGCGAGCGUUAUCCGGAUUUAUUGGGUUUAAAAGUUGCGAAGGCGGAAUUCCAGGUCAGCGGUAAAGUUGCGGGGCUCACCCUCGCAUCGCCGUUGAAACUGGCGUUCUUGAGUGGGCGAGAAGUAUGCGGAAUGCGUGGUGUAGCGGUGAAAUGCUUAGAUAUCACGCAGAACACCGAUUGCGAAGGCAGCAUACCGGAGCCCAACUGACGCUGAAGCACGAAAGCGUGGGUAUCGAACAGGAUUAGAUACCCGGGUAGUC